rnacentral:rRNA from 1 species
UACAGAGGGGGCAAGCGUUAUUCGGAAUUAUUGGGCGUAAAGGGCGCGUAGGCGGCCUGGCAAGUGGAUGGUGAAAUCCCUCGGCUUAACCGAGGAACUGCCAUCCAGACUGCUUGGCUUGAGACCGGGAGAGGUGAGUGGAAUUCCCAGUGUAGCGGUGAAAUGCGUAGAUAUUGGGAGGAACACCAGUGGCGAAGGCGGCUCACUGGACCGGUACCGACGCUGAGGCGCGAAAGCGUGGGGAGCGAACAGG